rnacentral:lncRNA from 1 species
CACCAAUGAUAAUGCCUCGCUGCUGCUGCUGAUUUCGCUCUGCGAAGAUGGAUGGUGCAAUGACAGUGACAAUGAUAAUUCACAACCACCACCUUUGUCUUCUACUUCAUCGUCUUUCCCUGCAUGUCUCCUAGCGUUAGGGUGGUCGUCGACAUGCUUGCCUACAUUUUUGUGAUCUUCUACAUCUACCUUGGAAACCUGAGAGAUUGAAUUUAAGGAUAUUAAUAAUUACAGCUGCAUGGACUUUUAUGUUAAAACUUGAAUGCAUGAUGGACUCUUAAAUUCAAAGAUAUCAGAUGGUUUUAACAUUCCUGUGUAAAUUUAAUGGAAAAGAACCAGUUACAGUAUGGAGAAACAUUUAUUACCAAUACAGGAAAAACAGAUGAGAGAAUUAAAAGCUCGGUUGAAUAAGGACAAAUUAUGCUGUCUUACACUUGCGUCCGGCACAUGAAUAAGAGGAUAUGACAUGUAAAUAUCCUUUAAAUAGAUUGAAAAACAUAGAAAAUAUUAACUAUACUACUCACUCUCACUCGGGACAAGUAUUGGAAACCUUGAAAUUCAAUAAAGGGCGGUGUUCUAAUACUUUCUAACCUGCAAAGACCGUUGGUUUAAAAGAAGUAAUGUCUGGUCCAAUGCAUUUGACGCUAAUUUUUGAAUUUCCAUUCUAACCAAACCCAAAAAAGGAGGGAAGUAGGGGUCCCCUAUUCCUUAGAAAUUUAGAAUUACAGUGGACCACAGUAUGUAAACAACCCCAUCAAUCACAGUGAUUAAUGACAAGGUUUUUAGGUCAAACAGCCAGUGUUAAUUGCUAACCAGAAAAGAAAAAGAAAAAUCCCAGAAUUUCUCUUUAAUGAAGGGUAAAGGGAAAAAGAAUUUUAAAAAAACAUUCUUUCCUUUUAACUUAAGAUUGAGAAUAUGCUUAUUCUCAGUCUAUAUAUAUACAUCGCUGACACAAAAGGAAAGGACACCAAGAAAGAAAAGAAGGAACUUAAUAAAGACAAUUUUUAAUCCUUUUUGGCUUUGUUUCAUUCAUUCUUUUUUUUUUUGUUCAAUAUUGUUCCAUUCUUUCUUGUUUCCUGUGUGUUCAUCGUCCUAAUGAGAGAAAGGGGGGGGGGGAUAUUAUAUACAUAUAGAUAGCUAGUUUUCAGUGUUCAUCGUCCUAAUGAGAGAAAGGGGGGGGGGGAUAUUAUAUACAUAUAGAUAGCUAGUUUUCAGUGGUGUAGUGCUUUUCAUGAACAGGACGUGUUGAAGUGAAAACACUAUGAAACUAGACCCUAUAUUUUUGUGAGGCAAGUAGGAUUAGAAGACACGGAUAUUCCCUGUUACCACUGGUCAUAAGAGCCAACAUUGAAUGUGGAAAGUGGAAACUAGCUUAUAUUAAAUCAAGUGUUCCAAACCCAACAUUACACUCAAGCUCAUAAACAAAAGCUCGGAAAAUAAAUAUAUAAAGAGAAAAAGAGAGGGAGGGAGGGAGAAAGAAAAAAAAUGGUGGGGUUUGGCUAGUGUACCUUAAGGAAAUCAGAUUCUUCCACUGAAUAUUUGAAGGAGUUGAGAUUGUAAAGAUCAUGUGGCAGAGAGAAGGUUGUGGAUUGACCUUGAGCCUGAGGGUGAGUCUGGGUGUGUUCCCAUAUGAAAGCACCAUUACCUUCCUUUAUUCCUUUAUAAACAGCCAUUGUCUGCAGAUAAUCAUCAUAAAAGUACGGAUUUGAGACUCUCUCACAUACUCCUUGGCUGCAUUGCAGAUUCUGAUCAGAGAUUGAACUCUUGGUCUCGAUUCUAGCUCUGAGGCAAAGGAGGUUUAAAAAAACAAAAGAUAAUGAGAAAAGAAAUCAAACAAAAAGAAUUUUAGAGAGGAAAAAAUUUAAAAGAAAAAGAAAAAAAGGUAGUAGCAGAUAAGAACAGAUCAUUUAAUAUACUACCUUCUUUUGUUUGUUUCUUGCACUACACUAUCAACUUUUCUUUUUUUAAGUAUAUGAAAAGUCUGUAACCAUGGGGGAAUAAAGCUAAGCUGACCUUUUUGAAGGAAGAGGAGAGUGGAUCAAAUGAGAAUCUGAUUCUUCAAUGGGCUUUGAGGUUGAGUGAAAACCCAUAAUAUCAAUUACAUCAUCAACACAACCAUCAUGUUUCUCAAAAGAUUGUCUUCUUUGAUGGGUUGAACUCCUAUCUGUGUCAUUUGACAGACCCCAACACAGAAGUUUCAAUAAAAAAAACUUCAUGAAAGAAUAGGAAGAAAAUUGAAAAAGAAAAGAGCCAAUUAAGUUAUGAGUUGGGAUAGCAUGCAUGCAUAUUAUUUAAGAGAUGUUUGCUCAGAAAACACUUGGAAACAGCUGUAGUCAAGGAAUGGGGAUGUAUGGGUUUCAUCAGAUAUUCCAAUAGAGGAAGAUUUGGCAAGGAAACAAGUUAAUGGCUGUUCACAUCUAAUUUGGCAUCAAAUGUAUAAGAGAGAAAAGGAAAUAAUAAAUGAAGUGGUACAUCUAGGCUUUUACUAAAAAUUAUGUAAAGAAGGGAGUAUAUGAUCUUGGAUACUUUAUACCAAAACACAACCAUUAGAAGAAAGUAUCAUAGAAUGAUAUGCAAACACAGACACACUGAUGAAUAUAGAACAGUUAGUUCCAUAGUUAAAAACUGAGAAUUGGAAAAGGUAUUUGGGGUAUAAAGAAGAAGAAAAAAACAUUUUUUAAAGAAGUGCUAAGAUACCUUGUCUGCUAAGAUCACUUCUCAUGCUCCGAUACAUCUGGUCAGAAUGUAAAGAAACCCAUGUGAACAAAAAUGAUCGAAGGGGAAGAAAAAAAAGAAGGAAUUUGAAAGCCAGAAGGGAAGAAAGAAAGAUGAACCUGAAGGUGGCUUUUCACAUGUGAAAUGGUGAGUCCUUUCACAUCCAUCAGUUGAAGAACAAGUUUCGGCGUAGCUUCUGGCAAGUCGAAACAAACAAAAAAAAAGGCCAUUAUUUCAACACCAAAAGAAACAAGCUGAAGAAGAAGAAAAGGGAAACUUACUGUCUUGACCACCAAGCCUUUCGAUAGCUUGAACAAAACAUUGAUGAAGUUCAGGUGUCCAUCUCAAACGAGGCACCUUUGAUCUUAUAUACUGC